rnacentral:rRNA from 1 species
UACGUAGGGGGCGAGCGUUGUCCGGAGUUACUGGGCGUAAAGGGCAUGCAGGCGGUCGGACGCGUUUCGGGUGACAGCGGGUGGCUUAACUACCCGAGUGGUCGAAAGACGGUUUGACUUGAGGACGCGAGAGGGACACGGAAUUCCGGGUGGAGUGGUGAAAUGCGUAGAGAUCAGGAGGAACACCGAUGGCGAAGGCAGCUCGCUGGGACGGUACUGACGCUGAGGCGCGAAAGCGUGGGGAGCAAACAGG